UACGAAGGGGACUAGCGUUGUUCGGAAUUACUGGGCGUAAAGCGCACGUAGGCGGAUUUGUAAGUCAGGGGUGAAAUCCCGGGGCUCAACCUCGGAACUGCCUUUGAUACUGCAAAUCUCGAGUCCGAUAGAGGUGGGUGGAAUUCCCAGUGUAGCGGUGAAAUGCGUAGAUAUUGGGAGGAACACCAGUGGCGAAGGCGGCUCACUGGACCGGAACUGACGCUGAGGCGCGAAAGCGUGGGGAGCAAACAGG
rnacentral:rRNA from 1 species